GAUUGAACGCUGGCGGCAGGCCUAACCCAUGCAAGUCGAACGGUAACAGGAAGAAGCUUGCUUCUUUGCUGACGAGUGGCGGACGGGUGAGUAAUGUCUGGGAAACUGCCUGAUGGAGGGGGAUAACUACUGGAAACGGUAGCUAAUACCGCAUAAUGUCGCAAGACCAAAGAGGGGGACCUUCGGGCCUCUUGCCAUCGGAUGUGCCCAGAUGGGAUUAGCUAGUAGGUGGGGUAACGGCUCACCUAGGCGACGAUCCCUAGCUGGUCUGAGAGGAUGACCAGCCACACUGGAACUGAGACACGGUCCAGACUCCUACGGGAGGCAGCAGUGGGGAAUAUUGCACAAUGGGCGCAAGCCUGAUGCAGCUAUGCCGCGUGUAUGAAGAAGGCCUUCGGGUUGUAAAGUACUUUCAGCGGGGAGGAAGGGAGUAAAGUUAAUACCUUUGCUCAUUGACGUUACCCGCAGAAGAAGCACCGGCUAACUCCGUG
rnacentral:rRNA from 1 species